GAAAUGCGAUAAGUAAUGUGAAUUGCAGAAUUCAGUGAAUCAUCGAAUCUUUGAACGCACCUUGCGCUCCUUGGUAUUCCUUGGAGCAUGCCUGUUUGAGUAUCAUGAAAUCUUCAAAGUAAAUCUUUUGUUAACUCAAUUGGUUUCUACUUUGGUAUUGGAGGUCUUUGCAGCUUCACACCUGCUCCUCUUUGUUCAUUAGCUGGAUCUCAGUGUUAUGCUUGGUUCCACUCGGCGUGAUAAGUUAUCUAUCGCUGAGGACACUGUAAAAGGUGGCCAAGGUAGAUGCAGAUGAACCGCUUCUAAUAGUCCAUUGACUUGGACAAUACUUUUAUGAUCUGAUCUCAGAUCAGGUAGGACUACCCGCUGAACUUAAGC
rnacentral:misc_RNA from 1 species